rnacentral:misc_RNA from 1 species
GAUGAAGAACGUAGCGAAAUGCGAUAAGUAAUGUGAAUUGCAGAAUUCAGUGAAUCAUCGAAUCUUUGAACGCACAUUGCGCCCCUUGGUAUUUCGGGGGGCAUGCCUGUUCGAGCGUCAUUUCAACCCUCAAGCUCUGCUUGGUAUUGGGCUCCGUCCUCCUCGGACGCGCCUCAAAGACCUCGGCGGUGGCGUCUUGCCUCAAGCGUAGUAGAAACACCUCGCUUUGGAGUGCAUGGCGUCGCCCGCCGGACGAAACCUUUUGUAUUUUCUCAAGGUUGACCUCGGAUCAGGUAGGGAUACCCGCUGAACUUAAGCAUAUCAAUAAGCGGAGGA